rnacentral:lncRNA from 1 species
UUUUUUUUUUUUUUUUUUUUUUUUAGAAAAAGGUCUUUGUUUCUCUCUUUUCUUAAUAAUUGAGGCCACAGUGGAUUCCAGGCAUUAGUGGGGCUUUUAAACAGAUUAAGGGGAAAAAAAAAAGCGAUCCAAAGUCAUUUAUGCACUGCCAAUUUUAAUUACCGAUCUGCUUUUGUUUUUUGGAGUGACCCCGGAGCUUGCUUGCUUGCUUGCAACACAAACUGGUUCCCGUCGCCGUAGUAGUGGUCUACUUACUAUACUUGGAAGCUUUUCCAUUUCAUCAUUUUCAUGGCUGGCAGUUGGAUGUGGGUCUCGAGCCAUGCACCUUUAUAUAUAUAUAUAUACACACACACACACACACACACACACAUAGUCUUCCGCUGGCACUGGGUCUAGGAGUAGUUAUUAAGCUGAAUAUUAUGUUACAGUUGGAUUCCAUUCUCUGCAUUAUGCUUUCUUAAGUUCUAUGCGUGCAUCAUCGAUGUCCAAGGCAUGUAGGACCGCCCAGAUAUUUAUACCAUUUGCUUGGGUAUCAUCGAUCGUCCAUUCUUGCCCCGCCCCCAGAAGAACGAUGAUAUUUCAUUGUUUCCAAACGAUGGAUGUGCCUGAUUUGGUUGGAUGAGAAGAAAAACAAGACAGUACGCCAGGAUUUAGUUGCAUAUUCGGUCCUUAACAAAUAAUCAAUUGUAGGUUAGUUUAAUUGAAGUUAAAUGUGUUCUUGGUUUUCCUGCUUUACUUUUUUACUUUUAGUUUAUCUCGUCGCGAAAAAAAAAAAAAGAAGGAUUAGGUUGGGGUGGGUGGUGCAAUUUCUCAAUUCUAACAGGCAACAAAUGGACGGAUGCGAAGCACUUGUGACUUGACCAUAUGGAAUGGUUAUGCAAUUUAAGUACGUUUACGGGUGUAAAAUAUGAAGAAUUAACCGUCACAGGAGGACAGAGCAUUCUCAUCAUGUUAAGCUGGGGACCCAUCAUCACAUGGCUGGAUUUUGCAGGAAUCCGGGGCUACGAUCGGAUUGUCCCGGAGAAUUAUUCCCCCCCGGGCCGCGGGGGGUGGGUGGGGCGCUGCUCCUUUCUCUUCUCCGUUUGCUCUUUUCAGUUCUUGGCUGGCCUAUAAGAUGCAAAAGAAACGAGAAACCAGAGAAGCGAAAAUAAUUACUAAACUAAUUUUACUUCCAUCUUCUUCUCUUCGACUUUUGUCUUUUUGGUUCAAAAUAAAAGCCAAGAUACUGCAUCCACUGGCCACAAAAGCGAACGCUAACACAGAAAAAUCACGGCUCACUUUUUUUUUUUUUUUUGGUGCUAGCGGCAUACGUAUUCAAAGAACUAUAUAAAAGUAGGCUGAUAUUAUUUGAAAAGUACUCAUACAACAGCGCCGUUGCGUCUGAUACAGCGGCAUCCGCCGGCGCCGGCAGCCGCAAUUUUUGGCUCAGUCAACCUCCACACUUUACUUAUCUCAACACAUGUGGCCACGUUGUUACAGCUUUUCUUUUCCUUGCUCUCUUUGGUUGGGGAAUUCCCGCACUCACCCCAUCUACAUUAAUUAAGGUGUUAGCAUGUUUUUCUUUUUCCCCCUUAAUCAAACUGUGAAUAAUUCUCCUAAACGAGCCAGCUGAUUCGCCUUAAAUGGUUGCAACAAUCAUUUCGGAAUAAUUCCUCAACUUUCCAUGUGUCGAUGUAAUAAUAAUAUUAAUGUGUGCUGUAAUUGAUGAAAAGGAAAAAAAAAAAAAAACAACGCCUAAACAUGAGAAUCUUUUCCAAUUCUCAUCCUCGACUGUAUAAUUCCGAAGAUACAAAUUUCUUGGGUGGAAAUGUUUAAAUAAAAAAAGGUUAUCUUCAAGUCCCGGCUACAUAAUAUAUAUGGUUAGCUUUUAGUUCGAGAAGGUAAAACCCAAAUUCAUCUACUUAAGCCUUGUUUGAAUUGCUGUUCUUCGUCGAAAAAUUACGUCAUUUUUCGUAAUCACAUUUCUUUAUUAUCUUUUUUUUCUUACAUACAUCAAAUCGCUAUAAUAAUUUUUUUUUAUAAAAAAUCAUAAAAAAUAUAAUCUAAACACACCCUUAAUUAGCGAGGUCCCCGGGGCAACCAUCGGGACAGUCGUGUAAACCGGUUAAUAGCACUUGUUACGACGUCGAUUAUUAAAAGUAGUAGCAAGUAAAACGAAGAAAAAGAAAAAGUAAAGACAAAAGAGCGAUUGUGGGGAGCACUAGCGGAGCGUGAAACCGAGGGAACAUGUCGCCUUGAUUAGCGCAAGAAGUUUUGGCUUCUGGACGUUGUCGUUUUCCUAAUCACGCAAUGCUGCUGCUGUUAAACUUUCUUCUUCUGGAGAUCCCGUGGAAAAAGGUUUUGACCGUCUGUCUUCCACUCGCUGCUAAGUCGUUGAAUACACUCGCAGCUAAGUCGUUGAAUUAAUUGGUUAUUCUAAUCUUCUAUCAAAUGAAUACUUUAUCUUUUUGUUACAUGGCAAAAUAUAAUUUUAUUUAUUUGCAUGACUUUUAAGCAUUUUAUUUUCUCGUAAUAAUAAAUUUUAGCUUUAUUUUUUCAUCUACUUACUUUUUUUUUUGCCCUUUUUCACUUCCUUAAGAGUAAAGAUUAUAUGUAAAAAGUGCAUCUAAAACACCCUUGAACACACCCACCAAUCUAGCAUUGCCAUGUCAGCAAAAUCCCACUGAAGCUCUAUUUAAUGGAAUUUUUUAUUCUGCGUCCUUAAGCCGUAGGAUAAGCGUGUAAAAUAAAAGGGUUGAUCCAUUUUAAAUUUAAGUAUUAUCAUCCAUCCUCCACGUCAGAGUAGGAAACUUUAUUGAAAAAAAUGUAAACUUUUUCAAAUAACUAAAAUGACCUAUUUGAUAAUCCAAUUCAAUACUUAAAUUUAAUGGAUUCAUAUUUUAACAUAUUUAGACCGUUUGAUAGCAAAAAAUUGAACAUCUGAAUUAAUUAAAUAACACUGAAUUUCCUACCCUAAAUUAAGUGAUAAGUUAUUUGCUUAUUACUAAAUUUGAUAUGCACUCAAAUGCAUUAAAUUUAAUAUUUAACAAUUUAAUAAGUUAAUAAAUUCAGAUUUCAAAUUUAAAUUUUAUCAAACGCAACCUAAGACUUGUGCCCACCUCUCCUAAGGGGCACAUAAUAGAAGAACCCUUUUAUUAAUUCCUUUUCACACUUGUACUACACUAACUCUCUCAACGCUUGAAAUCAUCUGCCUAACUCUCUCUGCGCUUGGAAUCGUCUGUCUCAAAUUUUGUCUCUAUUCCAUCCUGUUCAAUUACCACGUGUAUUGAUUAAUAACUCUUAAAAUUCUAUUAUAGACAAAUCCAACAAUCAAUAAUUCUUAGAUUCUGUUAAAUGAUAAAUCCAACAGUACUCUACCGAUGAUGCCAGUUAUACAAAGACGGCGUGACAAAGAAAGACAAAAUGGAGGAGAGUUGAUUUGAAGCGCAUUUGUUUGUUUGAAGGUAGAGUGCUUCUGUUCUGUCUUGUGCGGGAGCAUUUGUUGGUGGAUCCUCUCACCUUGGGCCUUAUUUUUUUCAGGAACCCCAGUGUGGCCUGGUUUGGAUUUGAAGAAAGUGGGAAAUUUAAGUUUGGGCUGGAUUCCUAAAAACCCAUUUGCCAUUUGACACCAAUCAGGGCUCGAAAUUAUCGCCUAUGAACUCAAUCAAAUUUUUGGGCGUUGCGAAGGUAAUUUCAACUAAUUGUUCGUCAGUUUGAUCCUUCGCUGAAUUGGGUGUCUCUGUUUUUUUUAGGGAACCUUUUUCACUUUAAGCCAAUUUGUGGUCGGUAAGUACAAAUUUAUGAAUCCAUUUAUUGGUCUUUGGUGAGGGAUUUGCUUCAUAAAGUGUGGUUUUCAACGUUAAUAGAGGCAAAUUCAAGGGAUAAAUAAAAGAACAACACCGAUACCAGCCUUCAUUUUUUCUUUUUCUUUUUCUUUUUUUUUGGGUACAAACUACAAACCUGGCAUCGAUUAUUAUAAGUUGGACAAUGAGAAAUUAAUAUACUACUAGAGUACUGUAGUGGACCCCAGGCACACAUCGGCCCGGUCCGCGCACACGUCAUUCCGGCCCACGAGCUCGGACAGGAGGAAGCGGACUGUGGCACCAGGUCAGCCCGUAUGAGCGCCGUUUCCCUGGCCGAUGGGCCCGAUGGGCUGCGAGGUCCGCGCCUCCAAGUCGCCGCGCGGAGCCCUAGGAACCGUUUCCUCCCCCGAUAAGGACUCUUAGUCCUACCAGGAAACAAACACUGGAGGCUCUAUAAAUACCACGCAAAGGAAGAACACAAGGUACGCUAUUCAUAGUGCAAUCUCUACUCUUUUUACUCACGAACUCGUUCUGACUUGAUCGUCGGAGUUGCUCCAGGGGACUUAGCCCCGCAGCUCGUUCACGUGCAGGUCAGACGUCCAAGCAGCUCGUCCCGCCGAACCCAGCUCAGUUCGGAUCUUCACUUCGGCAGUCGCAUCAAUUGGCGCCGUCUGUGGGAAACGUUUUCUUCUCUUUUUUCGCGAACAACAUGCCGAAGACUAGGUCUCAGAGGAAUGUGGAUGGUACUGAGGGGGGCGCUCAGGGCGGCCCCCAACCAGUUCACCAGGAAGCCAACACAGGGGAGGCAAGGGUCGAGCUCUCGCAGAUCUCGCCGGAACAACUGGUGCAGUCGGUUGCCGCGAACCUGCCUACCUUUGAGGCUAUUGUGACGUACCUGAAGGGACAAUCUGGAGUCCCUCCCAGUCCGGAGCGUCGGGUGCGAAAAACGGGCAGAACAGGGAGUUCGGAAUCUCGAUCUGGAAGCCCCAGGUCGAAGAGGGCGCGAAGGGAGAUUACACGCGAGCAAGUCCAGGUGCCAGAGCCCUCUCACAAGAAUUCCCGAACUAGCCAUCCGGAGCCCGUUCUGAGGCCUUCUCGGAUGGAGAUCCCUCACAGGAAGGAGGAUUACCAGGUCCAGGAUGAACUGGACCUCCUGCUGGAUCCGGAGGCGGAUAGGUACACUGCCUCUCCCUUCAUACAUGAUAUCGAGGAUUACCCUCUACCUGCCAAGUUUAAAAUACCAUCCAUGAAGUCCUACGACGCGACCACUGAUCCGGAGGAUCACUUGUUCGCGUUCCUGACUCAGAUGCGCCUUCAGACAGCUGCUGAUGCGGUCAGGUGCAAGACCUUUCCGAUGUUCUUGGAAGGAAAGGCCCGACAAUGGUUUCAAGGCCUGCCUCCUAGGUCAGUUCGGUCGUUCAGCCAGCUCGCGCGGCUGUUCGCGGCCCAGUUCGUUUCCUCCCGCGCUUAUUCCAAAACCACGGCUCAUCUGAUGACUGUCCAUCAGGGGCCCGAGGAGUCAUUGCGUGAGUAUAUGGUACGGUUUAACAACGAAUCCCUUCAGGUGCGGGACCGAGAUGACAAGGUGGUGAUGGCUGCCUUCGUCAACGGGUUGCGCAAGCAGAAGUUGUAUACGGAAUUCGUAGAAAGACCUCCCAAGUCCGUCCGGGAGAUGCUAGAUCGAGCCCACGAGAAGGCGAACGCCGAGGAGGCCAACCGUCUGAAGGGCGCCCAGGAAAGGUUGCGGGAUGACAAGCGGAGUCACCGCGCCCAGGGCUCGGGUUCUGGCCGUGAUGGAACAGCAAGGGAUUUCUCGUCCUCCUCGGCCGCUGGAGGGCGACAAGACCCAGCGAGAUCAAGGUUUGUAUUGUGCUUACCACAGGAAUGUCGGACACGAUACUGAGGACUGUCGACACCUUAAGAAGGAGAUCGAAAAACUGAUACGAAGAGGUCAUUUCGGACAGUUCGUCCGUGACGGGCGAACGGACCAGAAGCCAGGAGGGUACAAGCGAGAUCGGACGGCCAGUUCGCACGACCGACCUCGAGGUCCUAGUGAUCGUACUCCGGAGCAGGGGGUUCAGAACCUAGCUGGAGUAAUCAACACUAUUGCAGGGGGACCUGCUGGAGGAGAUAGCCACACGGCUCGACGAAAUAACCGACCUCCCCCUAGCGGAGAAAGCUCGAGCAAACGUUUGAAGAUGUACGAGGAAAUCAUCUACGGGCCGGAGGACGCGGUACCCUUAGCCUCUAAUAAUCAUGAAGCGAUCGUGGUAGACGUUAUCACGUGCAACUAUAAGGUAAAGAAGGUGUAUAUCGAUAAUGGGAGUGCCAUCGAUGUGCUGUAUUACAAAACCUUCAAGGAAUUGCAGCUGGAAGACAAGCAGCUCAUCCCAGUUCGGACUCCCUUGAUAGGUUUUGCAGGUCCGCCGGUUAGACCAGAGGGAAUGAUAACCCUCAUGGUCACGGUAGGGGAGUCACCGAAGUGCCGAACUAUCCCGGUGAAUUUCGCGGUAUUAAAGGAGCCGUCUUCUUACAAUAUGAUACUAGGGCGACCAACCCUCAACGCUCUCCGAGCUGUCUGCUCGACCCUACACCUUAGCAUGAAAUUCCCGACGCCUGAGGGGGUGGCCGAGGUGUUGGGGGACCCGGAGGUAGCUCGGGCCUGUUACAUUGCAACACUCAAAGGUAAAGAGAAACUGGUAGCCCAAACGACCUGUCUAGAGCCCUGGGAGCCUGCUGAAAAGGAGGAAAGGUUGGAGACGGAUGAGAGUCUGAUCGAAUUGUCGAUCUACCCCGAGCGAACUGAUCGCGUGGUAAAAACCGGAGCUGGUCUGAGCGAGCUGACACGGAGAGCUCUGGAGUCUUUGCUGGAGGAAUAUGCCGAGAUUUUCGCGUGGAGCGCUGACGACAUGCCCGGAGUCCCUCCCGAGCUGGCAGUUCACAAGUUGCACGUUGACCCAAACAUCCGGCCAGUGAAGCAAAAGAAGAGGAACUUCGCUCCUGAGCGCAACGAGGUCGUCAAGGAAGAGGUAGGAAAGUUGUUGGAGGCCAAAAUUGUGAAGGAGAUCUACUAUCCGACCUGGCUGGCCAACCCUGUGCUGGUCAAAAAGGAGGACAGGGCCUGGAGGAUGUGCGUAGAUUUCACCGACCUGAACAAGGCCUGUCCGAAGGAUUGUUACCCCCUCCCUCGCAUCGACCAGCUAGUCGACUCGACCACUGGAUACGAGAUCUUCUGCUUUCUGGAUGCCUUCAAGGGGUAUCACCAGAUAGCUCUGGACGAGGCCGAUCAGGAGAAGACUGCCUUCAUCACCGAAUACGGUACGUAUUGUUAUAUCACUAUGCCAUUUGGAUUAAAAAAUGCAGGCGCGACCUAUCAACGGCUGGUCAACAAGCUGUUUAAAAACCAGAUCGGCCGAAAUAUGGAGGUGUACGUGGAAGACAUGCUGGUGAAAAGCCGAACUCAGGAGCAGUUCAUCAACGACCUAAGAGAAAUCUUUGACGUCCUACGGAGCUCGCGGAUGCGGCUGAACCCCAAGAAGUGCACCUUCGGGGUUAGGUCGGGCAAGUUCCUGGGGUACAUGAUAUCCAAGGACGGGGUAAGAGCUAAUCCCGACAAGGUGAAAGCUAUCAUGGACAUGGCUCCUCCCCGAAACGUAAAAGAGGUCCAGCGGCUAGCUGGCAGGAUGGCGGCCCUGAACAGGUUCCUGUCGAAGUCAGCCGUUCGGGGUUCCCCCUUCUUCAGGGCCCUGCGAAGAGGUCCCCAGUUCGAAUGGACUCCCGAGUGCCAGCGCGCGUUUGACGAGCUCAAAACCCACAUCGCACGCUUGCCAGCUUUGACCUCUCCCGCACAAGGAGAAGUCUUAUUCAUCUAACUAGCAGUUGGGGAGGAGGCGGUCAGUGCGGUACUAGUUCGGGAAGAAGGUAAAAUCCAGAAACCCAUAUACUAUGUCAGUCGAGCUUUGCAGGGGGCGGAGCAGAGGUACACCUCAAUUGAGCGGUAUAUUCUAGCAUUGGUGCACGCGACCCGGAAGCUCAGGUCGUACUUGCAAACUCACCCCGUGGUGGUCAUGACCGACCAACCUCUCAAGCAAAUUCUCUCAAAACCUGAUGCAUCAGGAAGAAUGAUAAGGUGGGCCGUGGAGCUGUCUGAAUACGAUCUCAGCUACCAACCCCGCACGGCCAUUAAGGCUCAAGCAUUGGCGGAUUUCAUAGCAGAAGGGAUCUCCUUCGGGCAAGAACAGUUGCAAGCCGAGCUAACCAGUGGCGCAAUCAAGGCUGUGCAGGCCAGAGGAACUGUCGAGGUAGCACAGGCCGCCGAGACCAAGUCGACCCAAGACGUAGCUGAGGCCAGGCAGGUCGGAGAAGCUGCCGAGGUCGUGAAAGGCACUCGGACUUCCAUGGCUGAACAGACCAUAGACGCAGUCGAGGCCAAGCAGGCCGAGGGACUUGCCGGGGUCGGACAGGCCACAAAGGAAGCCAAGGCCGAACAGGUCAAAGAGGCUGUUGAGGCUGAACAGGCCACGGGCCAGGUCGAUCAGACCAUCCCGACCUGGACACUGUUCGUGGAUGGAUCCUCAAGCAAGGACGGAUGCGGAGCGGGACUUCUCCUGACCAGCCCCUUUGGGGAUGAGUUGGCCUACGCCCUGAGAUUUGAUUUCAGAGCCUCCAACAAUGAGACCGAGUAUGAGACUCUGAUCGCGGGGAUGAUGAUAGCCCGGAAGCUGGGGGCUGAGUCAAUAGAAGUCUACAGCGACUCACAGCUGAUAGUCAACCAGGUCGGGGGAAGUUACGAAGUUAAAGAGGAGCCCUUGAGAAGGUACGUUGCCAAAGUACGUGAGCUGGAAACUCAGUUCAAAUUGUUCAUGCUCAAGCAGGUGCCGCGAAGCCAAAAUAAGAGGGCGGAUGCACUAUCCAAACUAGCCUCCACCUCGGUCGGCACGUUGAACAAAGAGGUCUUGGUUGAGGUCGUUCGAAGUCGGGCGUAUGACCAGGUAGAUGCGGCGGUCAUCCAAGUAAUAAGCUCGUGGAUGGAUCCCAUCGUGCGGUACCUCGCUAAUGGGGAGCUCCCUCCAAACCGGGUGGAGGCACGUAGGGUCCUCCACAGGUCGCGGGGAUACGAGCUCUCGAAUGGGGUACUCUACAAGAAAUCUUACCUGCGCCCCUGGCUGAGGUGUAUCACUCCGGAGGAAGGAAACUACAUCCUGCGGGAGCUGCACGAGGGCAUAUGUGGAAACCACGUCGGCCCAAGGGUUCUGGCCAAGAAGGGAAUGCUGUCUGGAUAUUACUGGCCGACCAUCUUCCUAGACUCAGCCGACCUGGUAGUUCGAUGCAAGUCCUGCCAGUUGCAUGCGCCGAUUCAUCACGCCCCAACUCAAGAGAUAAUCCCUCUUCAGAGCCCCUGGCCUUUCUUCCAGUGGGGGAUCGACCUGUUGGGCCCAUUUCCCCGAGCUCCAGGAGGUUAUGAGCAUAUAGUGGUGGCGGUGGAUUAUUUCACUAAAUGGGUGGAGGCUGAGCCCCUUACCACCAUUGGCAGCAGGUCGGUUCAGAAGUUCCUCUGGCGAAACAUCGUCUGCCGAUUUGGUAUACCCCAUGUUCUGGUCUCCGACAACGGGCGUCAGUUCGCCGACAGUGCGCUUCAAGGCUGGUGCUCGGAGCUCGGGAUCCGACAGCACUUUACUUCGGUAGGGCAUCCCCAAGCCAACGGGCAGGUCGAGAACGUUAACAGGACCAUCUUGCACGGUUUGAAGACGCGGAUUGAGCUCGCACGAACUGGAUGGCUGGACGAGCUGCCAACCAUACUGUGGGCAUAUCGAACCACUCCCCGAACUGCUACCCAAGAAACUCCCUUUGCCCUAACGUAUGGGGCAGAGGCGGUGAUCCCUGCGGAGAUCGGGGUCCCUUCGUGCAGGGUUCAGAAUUUCAUAGCUCAGGACAAUGAGGAAGAGCUACGCCUUAAUUUGGACCUGCUGGAGGUCAGGAGAGAGGAAGCGGCCAUACGUAUGGCCAAGUAUAAAGGGCAGAUCGCACGGCAUUACAAUGCUAGGGUGAGGCCUUUGUUUUUCAAGCCAGGGGACCUGGUUUUGAGGAGGAACAGUGUAAGUCGGCUUCAGGGCACAGGCAAGCUAGACCCAAAUUGGGAGGGUCCCUAUGUGGUGAAAGAAGCAGAUCGAGCUGGGUACUGCAAGUUAGUCCACCCCGGCGGGGAGGAGGUCCCUCGUACCUGGCACAACUCCAACUUGAGGAUUUUUCGUUAAGAUCGCGCACGAUAGCUCGAGACUUUUAUGAAUAUUGAUGUUUUUCGUUAAUAAGUUAUUUUGUUAUAGGUGAUAGCUCAUUUAGGUCGGCGAUGGGCCGAACUGAUGUAUCUUAAAAGUUAUGACAAGAAGUUUUACGAAUGCGGCUAAGUAUGAAACAAAGGAAAAGUUCUUCAUUUCAUUCAAGCAAAAGCUGUACAAUGGUCUGAGCUCUUACAAAACGAACUGUCUACUAGCAGUUCGAGCCCUAAAAAUUCUACUCCAGUCCCUCUAGUUCUCGCCCUCCUCCUCCUCUUGCUCAGAUUCGGGGGUGGUCACUGGCAGUAGAGGGUCAGCAACCAGAUCGGCCAGCCUCCGUCCAUGCGUGUAGCCUUCCACCAGGCGGUCGAGCUGUUGCACGGCCAGAGGGUUGUAGCUGGGGAACUUGCUCAGGUCAAACCCAGGCAGACUCAGCCUUUGCACUUCAUCCAGGGCUUGAGAAUACCCAUGAUGCAGCACGGGAGUAUUCAGGAUGGCCAGGUCGCCCCUAAAAUCCUCCGACCUGAGGAAGGCCCGCACGCCUUCUUGGGCUCCCUCAGUCCUAGCCGCCUCGACCUGGGCAGACAGCUCGGCGCUCCUCUUCUGCUCCCCAUGCAGCUGGGAGGUCAGGUCGGAGUUCUUCUUUAGCUCCAGUUCAAAGUUAGAGUGAGCCUGGGCGAGCUGCUUCCUCAGACCUUCAGCUUCUGCCACAGCUGCUUCGUUCUGGCUGAGCAGUUUCUCGUUGGCUGCCUUGGUCUCAUUCAUCAGGGGCAGCAGACUCCCAUAACGCUGGGCCAACUCGGACCCGACCACGUUCACUUGAGUCGUGCCCGUGUAGUAAUAGUCGAGGAGGUCGGAGGAGCCCAUGGCCUUGACCAAGUUGUGAUCACGGGGAAGGAUGGCCCCAUGAACGAGCUCCCGGCCACCUCGGGAAAUUGAGUUCGAUCGUUUAUGGAGAGCUUCCACUGGGGGCAGAAGUGCAUGGGGUGUGGAUGCGUGACCAGCCGAGUUUGGGGGUCAAAGAGCAGGGUGGAGCUCUGGCGUUGCCACAGAUUGGGAGGAGCUUCAGCUCGGGCCUGCUCCUCGGCGGUAUUCACCCCAUAGUGGCCGCCCGGACCGGGCUCCGGGGUCGACCCCUCCUCCUGACCUGGGGAUGAGGUCGCGUCCACCCUAGCCCUCUUGGCAGUCGUUUUCUUUUUCUUUUUCUUCUCAGCCUCAACAGGCUUAGAGGACUGGGCAGGAGCUGGCUGAUGUGGCGGAACUGGUGCUGAGCUGGUUGGGAUAGCCGAGGAAGGCUGCGUGGUGGCGCCCUGACUGCUGGCACCUCCAAUGGUCAGAAGGGAAGAAAAUCUCUUCACUACAAAAACAGAAGAUCGGGAGGUCAGUAGAUGUAUAAAUAAAGAAGGGGAAAGAAGAGGAAGGCCGGGUCGUUUACAGGAGGUCAGUUCGUCUGGUGAGAGUGGCCUAGUCUCUAGCGAGGGAUCUGAGGGGUUAGCUCGGAUCAGCCCCGCCGCCCAAAGCUGGGCAUUGCUGAAUUCUUUCACUUCCAGCUUCUCGUCUGAGCUGAGUAGGCGGCUGAGCUCGGCUAUGGGGAGCGGGUCUGGAAGCGGAUCCGAAACCUGAGUCUCCGCCCUCCAGGUCAGAGGGGGAAAGCCCAGGUUCUUCACAAAAAAGAAGUAAUGCUUCCAGUCUUUGAUGGAGGAAGGUGCCCCCGUGAACAGCUCGCGGGUGGGGGUUUUUGCUCCACUUCUGCGGGCAAAGUAGAACCACCCAGGCACCUUUCCGCUGACCUUCAUCUGGAAGAAGGCCUGGAACAGGUCAUGAGAAAAGGGAAUUUCUAGGGCUCGGCAGAGGAUGAAGAAGCCUAUGAUGGAACGAACACCAUUGGGUAUGACCUGAGUUAUUCGGAUACCCCAAAAGGUGAGGAUGGAGAAGAAAAAAUCAGGGAUAGGCAGGCGAAGACCAGCUAUCAGCUGGUCCCUGUAGAUCGCCACGAACCCUGGAGGAGGUCGGCUGGCGACCUCUCCUGGGAGGGCUGCCCUGGAUUCAAAGAGGGCCGGGAUUUCGUACUUUUCGACUAGCGAGUCCACAUCUUUUUGUUUCAGGGCUGGGGAGAUGGUAUCGACUUCCCCGAAGCCGCCACUAGGUCUCCCCGAGGUCCCUGCUGCCGUCUGAGCCGGAACUGCUUGUACAGCAGCUCCGACCAGAGGCUGGGCGAGUGGGUUAGCCGGACUCAUUGCUCUAAUAGGAGACGAGGCAGGAGAACCUGCGAGCUCAGGUCCGGAAGAAGUAGAAGGAGAAGAGCUAGAGGGGUCUGAGGGGCUGCUAUCUAUGUUUAUGGGACUAGCCGCUCUAUGCCUAGGGGCUGAACUGGUGACGUCAGAACUAUCGGAACUGUAUGAAGACAUAAAAAAGAAAGGGAACUUACUAGUGAGAGGAGAUCGGAUGAAAGGCUGAUCUAAGGAUUGCGCGACCUGACCCUGGGCUUCCUAAGACUGGGCGACCCGACGUGCUCUCGGAGGGAAGAAGAUGAAGCAGCGAGCUAAGGAUUGAGAGGGUGAACUGACAGAGUGAAGGAAGAGGCGUGAAAAUGACACCCAAAGAGUCCUAUUUAUAGGCAAGCCAGGAAGCGGGAAAGUGAAGAGACGUGCAUUUAUUGAGCCGUUAUGGGGAACCGAUCCUAACCAUCGUAGCUGGCGGACGUGACGAUCGAGGUGACUGAUGCGAACCGACGCGACGGUUGUGUGCACCACUCUCUGACAGGGGCCCCACACCGAGCUACCACGACGCACGAUCCGGAUGUUUGACAUGAACCAACGCGACGGUUGCGUGUACCACUUACAGGCGAGGGUCCUACACCGAGCUGACACGACGCCAAAAAGUCGGCUAGACUCACGCGCACGUUCGAUGACUCUAGACUAAAGGGGGGGCUAGUGUAGUGGGCCCCAGGCACACAUCGGCCCGGUCCGCGCACACGUCAUUCCGGCCCACGAGCUCGGACAGGAGGAAGCGGACUGUGGCACCAGGUCAGCCCGCAUGAGCGCCGUUUCCCUGGCCGAUGGGCUGCGAGGUCCGCGCCUCCAAGUCGCCGCGCGGAGCCCUAGGAACCGUUUCCUCCCCCGAUAAGGACUCUUAGUCCUACCAGGAAACAAACACUGGAGGCUCUAUAAAUACCACGCAAAGGAAGAACACAAGGUACGCUAUUCAUAGUGCAAUCUCUACUCUUUUUACUCACGAACUCGUUCUGACUUGAUCGUCGGAGUUGCUCCAGGGGACUUAGCCCCGCAGCUCGUUCACGUGCAGGUCAGACGUCCAAGCAGCUCGUCCCGCCGAACCCAGCUCAGUUCGAAUCUUCGCUUCGGCAGUCGCAUCGAGUACUAUUUUGCCUUUUGAAUUGGGGACGAGUGAUGACAGGUAAAAAGCAAAACUUGUGCGCUGAGUUGAGCCCACCAAGCAUGUGAUCGCGACCUGUCAAACGUCAGACGAGUACAGCAGCAAGAAAUCUUGAGAACCUGUUCGGUGACUUUCUUGUCCGUGACCCAAAGUAUCCGCAACACUAGAAAGGAAAGACAAGGUUCACAAAAUUCAUCAUCAUCAUCACCUGAUCUGAGCCUUCGGAAAUUCAUUCAAUUACGGGUCUAUUGCACUCUGCACGCAGGAACUUAUUCUCUUCACUCUUCUUCAUCCUCCUAUAUUAAUUCACCCCACAAAGAAAGAGCCAAAAAGAUCAGACUCGAAAUAUGGUGAAGGACAGGAAAAUAGGGGUGGCAAUCGACUUCUCAAAGAGCAGUAAGCUGGCACUGCAAUGGGCUAUCGAAAAUUUGGCUGAUAAAGGUGACACCUUCUUCGUCAUCCAUGUGAACUCUCAUCAUCUGGACGAGUCUCGCAAUCAGCUUUGGUCCCAAUCUGGUUCACGUAGGUUUAUCUAGUCCUGACAUCAUCAAACUCUGUUCUAAUAAAUCUAGCCGAUCGAUGAUACGUAUAUUUCUCGGAAUCUCUAUGAUCUGUUUAAAUCAAAUCUGACGUGGGAUUACCUGUUCAUCUCAGCUCUUAUUCCAUUAGUUGAGUUCCGGGAGCCGGAGGUGAUGAAACAAUAUGGAGUCAAGACCGAUAUUGAAGUUCUUGACAUGCUUGACACUGCUGCCCGGCAGAAAGAGGUUUGGUUUUCGAUAUUUCUGCUACGAGGUCUUUUUGCUUGUUGCCUUCUUUAAAUACUGUACGACUUCUAAUUUUGUGUGCAGAUAAUCAUCGUCUGGAAAUUAUACUGGGGAGAUGCCAGAGAGAAGCUUUGCCAGGCUGUUGAAGAUUUGAAGCUGGAUUCUGUGGUGAUGGGUAGCAGGGGAUUGAGCUCCAUCCGAAGGUCGUUUCCCAUUUCUCUGCCUUUUCCGGUUUCCCUUUCGAUUUGUCUUGCUCCUCGUGUUCGUUGGUUUUUUGUCCCGCGUUUGAUGUGAUUUCUUUUUCAUACCCAGGAUAAUAUUGGGAAGCGUGACAGACUAUUUGCUUGCCAACGCGACCUGCCCCGUUACUGUGGUAAAGGAUCCAGAUCUUCACAGGCAUUGAUUUCAGAAGCGUUAAUGAGAAAAUCGCUUACUUUGCGUUUAUAGUUUGGUAAAUCACCUAUGAGGAUUCAUCAACUACCAGAAACUUAUUCAGCUUUUUAUGAUACUUGGGUUGUGGUUUUCAGUUGUUACUGUGGACUGUUGGCAACAAUAAUACUCCGUAUGAUACUUUCUUAUGCCUAAUUGAAUCUCCAUCCAGUCAGCUUCAGCGUAAAUGCCUAAUUGAACCUCUAAUUUUCUCGGAUUGAUUAACUUCACACAAGGUACCUUGGGAUCAUCUGGACUCUAUUUCCAUACCCUACUGAAUUAUCUCGCAGCCAGAAUGCUAUGGCAUUGGCAAUCACUGAGGUCUUUUGCUCCUCACUUUUGUUCCGGCAAGCUUUACACGGGGCAGGCAAGCACUGAACGUAAGCUACACCAUUGGUUGGGUUUUUUUUUUUUGGGGGCCGUACUUCUAGUUUUAUGUGGCUCAAUCAUUUAUAGAUUCAAAAGAAACCAGGAAUUUGAACGAAGGAUAAUUGAUUUCAGCUUAUGAUCGGAAGAGAUGAGGAAUAGAUGACUGACCCAACAUUAGGAAAUAUCAAGAAUGAAACCAAAAACUUACCUUCUCGUGUCUAUGAAGUCAGCCCAGAAUCAUGUCAUAAUUCUUGAGUAGGUUUCAUUGUUGCACUUGAGAAACAGCGGACUCGUAGUCGACGGAUCUUCCAUUGUGUAUUUCUAUUUGACGCCUUUAAUUUUAAGUUUCAGAGCAAACUCAACUCUCUGAGAACAUGGGAUAGCCCAGUAACCGCGAUCUUUGCAGCUCUUGACAAUUGAGUUCUUACUUCUUACCUCUGCUGCUUUGCAUUUCCUUGGUCGAUCGUGUUUCUGUUCUGGCUGCUUGUCUUUUUUUAAUAUCGGAUCUAGCCAAGCAUUGACGAGAUAAUACUACGAGUGCAUUUGUUUCAGAUCAGCUUUUAUUAAUCUGUAGUAUAUGCUUAAUAGGGCAACAAGAACUUCAUCACAAAGCUCUUAAUGCUAGCGAAGUACCAAGGUGACAAGAAUGAUGAAAGUGAAACUGAAGAAAAGGGAAUGCUUAUUUAAAGCACAUAAUAAUUAUUUAGGAGUCGAUCUGGGCCAUCAUCAAUUAUGCGGACCGAAAGCAGUUUGAUGUCGGAAGGCAGAGAGUCCUCUAUAUAGGGUAGCUGCAGCUGACCAACACUUCCGCCCAAUUCCAUAAGUUGGGAAAACCUUUCUUUGGUCAGCAAGUUUAUUCCCAGAAAUUCUUGAGUCACUCUGAGCCAACAUGCGAUUAAACUGGAUGCAAUAGCAAAACUUAUACAUCUCAUACAGGAAGGAAAAGAGAACCCAAUGGGAUCAAAUUUGGAUUUCAACGUGGAACUUAAAUUGAUGGGACAUGCUCAAAAAUCAACAUUUAUUUAUUUAAAAAAUUUUUUUUUAAGGUAAAAGGUCCUCCUAAUGGAGAGAAUUACUGUAAAUUAUUAACCAAUACUCGCGGACAGGUAAUAUUUACAGCCUCCUUCAUUCAUCCGUAGAGCAAGUCAAAUAUGAUGAUCUCAUACAUGGGUGCUGAUUUUGUUUUUAUCACAUGGAGCGAGAAAUACUUGCAAGCCCCCACAAGGUGAAAUUAGAAACCCCAAUAUACGAGGGGAUAAAAACUUGCAUGAAAAUUGAAACUCCUGCAAAUUACACGGUUCAACUUUUAUUAGUACACCAAUACGAGGAAGGGAAGGCUGCAUGAUUGAACAAGGAAAGCAAAAGAUCGGCGACUUUUGUUUGGUUCAUGAUCUAGUGGUGGAGAGAAAGUUCAUUUAGCAGCCGCCGGGGGGUGGAAUUGAAGCUGCAGACGAGACUGGAAAGAGGAAACUAGAGUUUUCCCCAUGUAAGCAGGGGGAAAGUUGGCUAUUAGCUUGUCUUGUGGAGGCAGACAUUUCUUGACGGGGCUACAAUUAGCGAAGUUUUCGGCCCAUUCCCACAGCUUUGGAAAAUUGUCUUCGGUGAAGACAUCUAAUUUGAGGGCUUCUUGGAUGGUCCUAAACGAAAAGCCGAUGAAAUUGGCCACAAUGUCCACCAUCCCAAUGCUAUCUCCUCCGAAGAAUCUCUUGCCCCCAAGCUCGUUUUCUAGAACUUUCAGGCGUUCAAGGGCUUCUGCCUUAUUCUGCUCAUAUUGCUCGCUCGUGCUCCAAAUGGUCUUCCAUAGCGCGGGAAAGCACUGUCGUAAACAAAACAUAUUAAGCCAAUAUGAAACAUUAAGAGAAUUUCAGUGCUCCAAAGAUUCGAUACCAUGAAUUGGUGACACUGAAAACUUUUACCUUCUGGUCGACAAAAUUGGCCCAGAAACGUGCCCUGGCUUUUUCAAAUGGAUCUUCAGGCAAUAUUGGAUUAUUCUUCCAGGUCUCAUCAAUGUAUUCAAGAAUCACCAUGGAUUCGACAAUGGGUUUCCCGUUGUGAAGCAGAACCGGAAUUUUUUUGUAAACAGGGUUGUACUGCAGAAGCUGAGGACUUUUGUUGGUAAGAUCUUCCUCUAUGUAUUCAUACUGGAUGCCUUUAAUAUUAAGAGCGAUCUCAACACUGCGACAAAAUGGGCUUACCCAAUAACCAAACAGCUUCACUUCCUCCAUCUUCGAUCCACGGGAACUCAUGAAUUACUGAGCUUCAGAGUUUGCCUCCAGUGGUUAUAGUAAGGCUGUACAGUUUUCAAUGGUCUUGAUCGGUCACCUGGCAUUGCAAUUUCUUAUAUAGGGGAACAUCACGAGAAUUUUCAAAAGCACCAAGGAAAAAAAGAGACUAAUUGUAGCAUUCUCAUUUCAGCCACCAAUAAAAAAGAAAUAGAGAAAGAAAGAAAGAAAUUCUCAUUUUCGACCAUUGUGCCUUUGCAGACAAAGUCCUGCAAAAGCAUAUUAGUUGCACAUGUAAGUACAUGAUUAGACAAAGUGUGCUGUCCAUAUACUGUUGAUUACGUCUCCACAAAUACGCAGUUGCAUUCGCAUGCUGUCCAUUUUUUAUAUGUCGGUUUUAUUGUUAAAAUUUUAUUUUGUUAAUUUGUACAAUAUUGCAAUUUUGCUUUCUGAGAAGACGACAAAAUUGUGGUCAGAACGUCCAGAAAUUGGAUUUAGGGAUAAUUUCAGAAACCUCCCCUGAGGUUUUUGACAAUUUCACUGAGCUCCCCUGAAGUUUGAAAAAUUAUACAUAUCUCCCUUGAUUUGAUAGUUUUAGCAACAAAAUUUUAAAAUAAUAUUGAUUUGGUCAAAUUUUAAAUGAAGACCCAAAACUGCCCUUAUGUAAGGAGUUUUAAUUUAUUUCUCUAUAGAAUUAUAAGAUUAUCAAUUUAGAUUCAUAAGAUAGAAAAUAAAAUGUUGAAAUAAUUGAUUCAGAGUUUAUGAAGUUUUUGAAUAGUGGGAUUAUCAUAAUUUAGUAGCGAUUUUGAACAAUUUCUUUUGAUUUAUUGUUAAUUUCAAUACCAAAAAAUAGAAAAUAAAGAUUAGCAAAAAAAUUGAAUUACGUAUAAAGUUAACUCAUCCAAAAAAAAAUCACUAGUACAAUAUUUGAUUACAAUAUAAAUUAGAGAUAAUUGCAGUAAUUUUACAAUUUUAUUGGCAAAAAAUUAAAAUAAAAAGGAAUAAGAAGGAAAAAGAAUGAAAAAAAUAAUUUUAAAGUCAUUCUAAGUAUAAGCAUACCAAACACAAGGGAAUUUUAUUAAAAUAUUUAAGGGUAGUAUUAUCAUUUUAAAUAAUAAGGGAGGUAUGUGUAAUUUUGCAAACCUCAAGGAAGCUCAGUGAAAUUGUCAGAAAUUUUAGGGGAGAUUUCUGAAAUUAUCUCUUGAAUUUGUAGUUCCAGCUAGGGGUGUGCAUCGAAUUCGAAAUCGGUAAUUCGGAAGUUUGAAUUCGGAAUAUUUCGAAAUUUUGGUAUCUGAUAAUUCGACCGAAUUCGAUUUCGAAUUCACCAAUUCCGAAUUCGAAUUCAUAUCGAAUUCAAUUCAGAAUUCGGUAAAUUCCGAUUUCACCGAAUUCGGAAAAAAUUAUAUAUUAUUAUAUAAUAUAUAAUUCAUAAUAUAAUAUAAUAUAAAUUUUAUAUAAUAUUAUAUUAUAUAAAUUUUGUAUUACAUGUAUUAAAAAAUAUAUAUAUUAAAAACGAAUUUGAAAUUGAAAUCGGAAUUCGAAUUCCGAUUUAAAAAACUCUAUUAUCGAAUUCGAACCAAAUUUGAAAUAUAUGAAUUCGGAAAACCUAAAUUCGAUUCCGAUUUUCGAUUGACCGAUUUCGAAAAUUUCGAAUUCAAUUCGAAUUUGAUCGAUAAAUCGAAAUUUUUCGAUUUUGCACACUCCUAGUUCCAGUUGAGAGCCUUAACGAUGACGUUUUGGUCUUUAAAGGUUGUUUUAUAAACUCACACGGAAAGCUGGCUUAAGAUAAUGACAGGGACGGGCCGCAUGAAAUGCGAUCCCAGGAGGAAGACUUGAAUCGAAUUUCCUUCAUUUCUAUUCUUUUUUGAUAAGUGAAUUUAUAUAGAUCCCACGAAUAAUCAAUUUAAAACAACUCACUCAUACGAUAAAUGGAUGUGAAUUUAUAUGGUCAUUCAUCUCAAGUCAUUAAAUUUUGUUUAGUCAUCCAAAUUCAUUUAUGCUGGGUUUGUUUGGAUCAUUGGAUGGAUAAAUGGAUGUGAAUUCAUUUUGCUACCUCUAACUCUUCUUACCUUUGAAAUGAUUAGAUGCCUGAUUAAUCUUUUUAUACUGUUACGAAGUUACUACUAUAAUCUUCUCAUUCAGCAGCUUCGUCAUUGUUUUUUCCCUUUAUCAGAAAGUGAAAGUUCAUCAACUCUUUUAUUUUUUGGAUAAAAUAGAGGUCAAUAUUAUUAAUAAAUUAAUUGCAGAUCACUCGGCACGAUUUAUUUAACAAAAAAUUUCUAAUACAUAGAUCUCAAAUAACUACUCCAUUAGAUAUGAGAAAAAAAAUAACAAAAAGUGAAAAAACUGAACAAAACUCACAUUAGGAUAGCUUAUGAAGAAGAAAACACUCAGCAGUAAACGAUGGGAGAGAGAAAACUCUCAUUGGGGUAAGAAUUUAUUAAACAUGAACCAAAAAAAAAAAAAAGAGAAAAGGAAGGAAGCCUUGGUUUGAGGGAAGGCUGAGAGUAUAGAGGAAGAGACAGCCGGUGGGUAGAGCUCUUGAUCUACUGAACGGUGAGCAGCAGAAGUUUAUUUAGCAGCCGGUGGGUAGAGCUCUUGAUCUACUGAACGGUGAGCAGCAGGAGUUUAUUUAGCAGCGGCAGCAGCUGCCAGACGAGAUUGAAAGAAGGCAACCAGAUGCUGUCCCAUGUAAGGAGGAGGGAAAAUGGCAAUUAGUUUGUCUUUUGGGGGAAGAAACUGGUUGAUAUCACUACAAUUAACGUAGUUUUCAGCCCAUUCCCAAAGCUUUGGGAAGUUGUCCUUGGUGAGGACAUCUAAUCCUAGAGCUUCUUGAAUUGUCCUAAACCAAAAUGCCAUGAAAUUGGCAACAAUGUCCACCAGCCCAAUGCUAUCUCCACCAAAGAACUUCUUCCCCUGGAGUUCAUCUUCGAGAAAUUUCAGGACCUCACCAGCUUCUGCCUUGUCUUUGUCAUAUUGCUCGCCAACGCUCCAGAAGGUUUUGAAAAGGGCAGGCAAGCACUGCAAUAUUGCAAAUACAAAUGCAUUCAUACUGUGCGUAUCGAUUGAAUAUGAAGAUGAUGAAGUAAAGAAUGCCGGCUAGUAGAAACUCGGUGAUUAAAAGGUUCUUCAAUAUCUGAACUGUACCUUUUCUUCGACAUAAUUGGCCCAGAAACGUGCCUUGGCUUUCUCAUGAGGGUUUUGGGGCAGGAUUGGAUUAGUCUUCCAGACCUCGUCAAUAUAUUCAAGAAUCACCAAAGACUCGGCAAUGGGUUUGCCAUUGUGAAGCAGCACAGGGAUUUUUUUGUGCACAGGGUUGUAUUGCAGAAGCUGAGGACUUUUGUUGGAUGGAUCUUCUGCUAUGAAAUCGUAGUGGACUCCUUUAAGUUUCAGGGCUAUCUCCACUCUGCAACUAAAUGGGCUUGCCGGAUGACCGAACAACUUCACUUCUUCCAUCUCGAUCGACCGGCACCUAAUUUGACUCUCCGUCCUUUUCUAGCUGUAGACUGCACCUGGAGUAACGUUCAAUGCAUUGUAUAGGGGAAAGAUUGUGAGAAGUUCCUUAGCGACCAAGGACAAGGAAUUGCUAGUAUUCUAGUAGUAUUAAUUUAAUUGGCUGACCAUCGCGAUCUCAUGAGUAUCCGUCAACGGAAGGUGAUGGCAAAAUCCGGGGAACAUUCAAUGCAUUAUUAUUGAAGGAAGGAGACAUUUAGCAUCCAUUUUUUAAGUUGUCGAGUCAUUAUUGAAUAGGUGGCAGCAGCCAGCCAAGACUGAAGAGAACAAGUCCCAAAUCCAUUUUAUACUUGCACUUAUUUUAUCCGAAGCACAUCUCUGACUCUGAGGGUGAUAUCAUAUUUUCUUCACCAUUCGAGUCUGUAACAUAUAUACACAUUUAGGAUUGGCAUCCAAGCUGCAGGCGCAGCAUUUGCUUAAUGCAUAAGCUGGCGAAAAGUCAUGGCGGACUUCUAGAAGGUGCAGCCCCCCUUAAAAAUUUGACGAGGCUAGAUGCCUCAUUAAGCUUAACAUCAAUUCUUAAUUAUUGAAUAAGUUGAUGAUGUGGCUUCCCAAUGGGUUUCGAUCCACGUCAGUUUUUUUCCUCUUGGUUUGCCCUCUCCUUUUCUUGUUAUCUCAAACCAUGUCCGUUUCAGAGGUAACGUGACCCAUGCAAUGACCUCACCCUCCAAAACACAACACCCAAAAAAGAAAAAAGAAAAAAAAAAGGAAGCAAUCUCCAGCUUACUUGAUUGCCAAUUCCAUACGUUGAUUUGUGGAGAGGCCCCAUCCUGGGCUUAUACACGUGACAACCCGGAAAGGCCGGAGCUGAGCUUGGACCCCAGGACCAUAGGAGCCAUCCUGAGGCACACCGCCGCUAGGGCUCCCCGGGGGUCCAGAGAACGAUCCCGCAGAGGGCGGGAGGAAUCCCCCUCAACGCGGGAUUGAGGCUAUACCGGAGAUAUCCCAAAACGUACGGAGGUCGGACUCUCGAGCAGGUAUAAAUAAUAACGCACCCCAGCGGCAUAAGAUACGCUCAUUAUUGGCAAAACACUCCCAACAGUUUUACUUCCAGUAAAUUCCCCUCACCGGAAAACUAACUUGACCGUCAGAGUGUCCUCGGGGACAACUUCGGAGCUCUCCUGUCAGUCACCCUAGAAUCCACUUUCAGUUUGUUUUGCAUGAUUGGGACACGCUCUCCUCAUCAACACGCCGAGCUCAUUAGGUCAGCUCGGUCCGAAGAAGCUCAACGCUUCUUCAAUUUGCAUCAUAUCUUUUACUUGGUUGCCAAUUCUAUACGUUGAUAUGUAUAGCUGGAGAUGUUGGUCUGAUGAACUAUUUCUCUGCAUCAAAGGAAUUAAUUACUCUUUGGUGAGCUUUGACAUGUUCGAGUUUGAAACUUGUGCAGCUUUACCAAAAGAUAUACUAUUCCUUUAGUAAAACUAAUCCUCCAAUCGGUGGAGGUGGCCUGUCUCUGAAUUUUGGUCAAUCGUUUCUCCUGAAAGAGACACCUUCAGCGUCCGUCAUCUUCCUUCAUUAUAAAAAAUUUUUGGAGGUUCAAUUGAGCAGGCCCAGACCACUCAAAUUUUACUGGGCUCGGUCUGUCUUUGAUUUAAUUAUCAGUUGGGCCCUCAAGUUACUCAUAACAUUUUACGACUACAAAGGAAUAGCUAUUAGUGCAAUUCGGCUAGGCCCUUCCAGUAGAUCCCAGACACGGAGAGAGACACAAAGGGCAAAAAAAAAAAAAAAAAGUCGGAAAUUCAGAAAAGAAGCGAGAUUUCACCAUCAGAAAAUGAAUUUCAAACUAAAAAGCAUGCACGUAAUUUUUUUUCUCUACCAAAAGAUACUAAAAAAAAAAAAAAAGAGGCAAAAUUCUACAGAAUUGUGAUAAAUGUGCUGCAAUGUUACUUUAAUAAGGGUUUCUCUUUAGGCAGGGAAUAAAGAGAGCCUACUUUUGAGCUUUAACAACGUUAUGAAUACGAUUUUGUCUUUGGCGUGGCGGUUGUUCAAAAUCAACAAUCAAAUUUGGUUAGGUCAUUACUGCUUGGACACUAGCCGUUACGGGGAACCAUCUUUUGCAUUCUGCGCUUUUCAGCAUUAGUUCGAACCAACGCCACUAACCACAGACUCUACCGCAUAUAGGAAAUCUAUAGGAAACCUUACAAGUAAAGUCACCAAACAUGUGGCACUUUAAAAAAAAAAAAUUCUAUUAUAAAAAAGAGCUCAGAUGGAGAAAUCAAUUUGAGGUUAAUUGGCAUACACAUUGCGAAUCUAUGAUUGUUUGGCUGGUAGAGGAAAAAAUAUAUAUAUCAAUAACAAGCAACGAAAAAUUUGGCAGAAUUUCACCUUAAAAUUUGUCAUUCUGUUCUUUUUUUUUUUUUUUUUUUUUUGUGUAAGAACCUCCAUAAUUCUUUUAAGAUCCAUAAUUUCACAACGCGGACGCUGGGAAUAUGUUUUCACCGACAAUUUAGUUGAUUUCAAACUUCCGUUACUCCAAAAUUCUAAAUCACGCCCAGUGUUACACAGAUCAAGCUUAAUAAAGUAGGCAAUUGAUUGAUUUGGAGAGCACUAUGGUGGGGAAGGGAGUCUUAGGUUGUGUUUGGAUUGCAGAUUUUAGUUGUGCGGGAGGCGAUUUGAUAUAUGUGAGAUAAUCGCUACAGUAAUUCUCACAUAUAUCAAAUCGCUACAGUAAUUUUUUUUUUUACAAAAAGUUCAGAAAAAUGCAAUACAAAGUGCCAAAAUGUAUGAUGCAAUGAUGAGAGAGUGCUAUAGAUAUUCAUUUGUCUAAAGCAUACCAUACAAGUUUUUGGGACGUGAUGGCCUCAUUAAUAAGCAUCAGCAUAUAUGUUUCCUACACUCUCCACCGUUAUUAGGGAGGUUAAUGACUAAGGAGUGAAGGUCGGGGGUUUUUUGUUCCUUCCUUCAAAUGUGGCUUUCACUGACCAAUUUGACCUGACCUAGCCUGAACAACAUUAACCCGUAGGGCAUUGGGUUCCCACAACCGCUUCAAAUGUUCAUAGAAUACAAGAAGAUGAAGCUUUCUUCCUGGUUUUCGGAGCCUCCCUAAUCAGUCGCAUAGAACUGCAUUUCCUGCAAAAAAAGAAAGAAGAAAAGGGGAACGACGGAGCUAUCAGCUAGGGUGUUAAAAGGCCAACAUGGCACCAAGCUUUCACCUGUCUCCUUGUUCCCUCAUUAGGUGUCUUUGCUCAAAUCUUUACUUGCUGUUCUGUUUUGACUCCAUCUGGAGACAACUCCAAAGUGGCCCAAAGCAAUAAGGCAAAACUCGGAGGUUCAUAAUAGUUUAUCUUUGUGCGCCACUUCUCUACCUACGUGCUACUGGAGGAUAUAAUGACAAUAUGAAAAGAAUCAAUUCAAUUGCUCUCAUUCAACAACGAAAGCCCAGUAGUUUUUUCUCCCUAUAAUUUCCUUGCCUUGAUUAUGUGGAAUUUGCUUCUCCAUUUAGUCUUAGAAAGUAGUAGUAACAGCUCAGUUCCUCAACUGCAAAUGUGGAUUGUAAAAUUAGUGAUUGCCUGAUCUAAGUCCUCAAAAUUUUUGCAGCACAACACUUGUCUUUAGGCUCAAACAAACAAAGGUUUUUGUCCUCUGCGCCUUUAAAUACAGAAUAAGCACACCAAAAAUAGAAGAUGCCAUGGAGAAAUACCUUUUAUUUCAUGCUCUCUCUCUCUCUCUCUCGCAGAAAUUAGCACAAAGUAAUUAAUGAAGCCACCGAUACAAGUGAUGUAUACAAAAAUGAACGCGUUUAUCCUGUGCCUAACAGUUGAGAAUGGAAGGGUGUGGAAAGGAGUUGGCGGAAAAAUAUUUUUAAAAAAAAGUGUUUAGCAUUAUUGAUGUAUACAAAAAUACAAGUUAGUAGGAUACGUUUAGUACAUCUUGGGAUAAUUUUAGAAACCUCCCAUUAGGUUUUUGACAUGAUUUCAAAAGUUCACCUCGCCUAUAAUAACAGUUAAUUUAAUCAUUCGUUCUAACCUAUUUGGAUUGUUAUUUUUUCAAGGUUUUUUUUUUUAAAAAAAAAUACGCUGUAGUGAUUUAAUAAAUGUAAGGUAGAAAAAUGAUUGAGAAAUUUGUUCACGAAAAAAGUCAAAAUAUUUUUCGUAGAAAACUACAAUCCAUAUUAUUUCACUUAUAGCGUCAUUAUUAGACAUGAUUAAUAAAAAAUUUUCAUCAUUUGCAAUAAAAAAGUAACAACUUUUGAAAUUUAAUAAAACAAAAAUAUUUUUAUUACUUUAAGAUUCUUAUUAUCAGGUACUAAGAAGAAACACCAGAAUCGAAAUCUCCUCGUGUCCAAUUUCUUUUAAUUGUCAAGUACAUGAAAAAGCUAGUACAGUAUUGGAGUCCUUUUCUAAUGCCAAAUUAAAUUGUCUAAUAUAAUCAAAUAACGGUUAAAUUAGUUUGUAAACGACUCAAUUAUUUUUCAUGUCUGAAUCCUUUUAUUUAUCAAGUACAUCAUUUAUAACUACUUUUGUCUGUCUAGUACAUUAAUACCCAGUAGUUCCCUUUUUAUAUAACAAAUUAGUUGUUUUUUAAAAUUCUAAAUUAUGCUUAAUUUAAUUAGCAAACUUUUUGAUUAUUUCCCUCCACAAAUAUGUGUGAAAAAUCUUAAGUUGUAAGGAUAGUAGAGUCCUUUCAUCCCUAAUGAUGUAAGUAUUGAGUAUCAAAUUGAUGACACAAAAAGGUUAGUGAUAUUUUCAAAACUUCAAGAGCGAUAGUUGAAAUUGUGAGAAACUUCAAUAAAGGUUUCUGAAAUUAUCCCAUGUAAUUAAGCAUGAAUGAAGUGGACCUGGACCUAUCUAGGUUGAUCCGUCCCUUAGAAGUAUCCAUUGACCUUUGUGAUGAUAUUUGUUGCAACCAACUUGUAAUCAGUAGUCUCCUAAAUGGCGACGCAUUUGUCAUAAUUGUGUUAAGAGUUGUCAUAAUUGUGUUAAGAGCCGUUGUCUAAGCAAAAGCCAAUGUGGAGAAAGUGACAGAGAUGCUCCUGAUUUAAGCAAAGUUUAGUGCUUUUUAAGCCCACAGUGGCUCGUUAGACACUUGCCCCUUCUUUGCCCUUCCGAUUCUUUCUUGCUCUGCUUGGUUGCUUGCUUGCUUGCCUGCUUCUGGAGGCAUUUGUUUUGGUUCGCAUCAUUUAAAUACUUCUUUCCCUGUUACUACCAUAUAUCAUGCGCUUCGACCCUUUGACAGCGAGAAAGAGCAGCCUCCUGCUAUAAUCAUUGCCAACUUCACUCCUCUACUCAAGACUCAUCCCCACACAAAACAGAUUUCGUUUUAUUUUUAUUUUUAUUUUCUUUUUCUCGGUUUUUACAAGGUUUUACUUUUACCCCUGAGAAUCAAACAUGGUUGGAGUUGCUACCUUAUGGAUAGAGCUCUCUCAAGCCAAGAGGAAAAAGAGGCCAAUGUACGAUAUCAGCCACAGCUCAAGCAUUAUGCAUUUCUAAAGCAGUCCACAAGAAGCUCAAGAAAGAAGAACCCAUUUUUUCUACUCAAGUAUUGGGCUUCAAAAUCACUGAGUAAUUUGCAUGUUAGACCUAAAAUGUCCAGCUCAUUCCGCAGUGAACGUUUUCAUUUUAAUGGGAUGGUAGUCAACAACUCUGUUUAUUGUGCUUCACCUUGCUCAUCUGAGGGCAAGAUGGAUUCUUCACCCGAGAAGAGGGAGGAAAUGGGAAAUGGAAAUUAUGGGUUUUGUGACAAUGAGCGUAUAGCUGUGGAGGAGUCUGGGGAAAGUAGUUCAAGUUCAUGUUUUCUGGCGUCAGAAGUAACUCUGAACGAUGAAGAACAUAGUACUGAGGAUUCCUCUUCGCCGCCUUCAAUGAUUUGGCCUAUUCAGAAGGAUGAACCACCGCAUUAUUUCAGUUCUCAUGUUUCUGAAGAUGCGCACAAACCCCAUUCUGACACCAGGAAGUUAGAGAAACAAGGGUCAUCACUAUCAGGUAGGAUGCCACCGUGCAAUUUUUGUUUUCCGCUGUAUGGACUGUGUUUGUUGUGCCAUUUUGUCAAUAUUUACUUGUCGAUUCAAGAACUUCGUUUUUACUUAUAUUUGUUGAAACAUUAAUUUGAGCAGAGACUGAAAUGAUGAAAGAAAGAUUUGCCAAAUUGCUGCUCGGGGAGGAUAUGUCUGGAUGUGGAAAUGGGGUUUCUACUUCUCUAGCUAUAUCCAAUGCUAUUACCAAUCUCUGUGGUAUGUCCUCUUGAUCUACCAACUCUUAACAUGAUUGGUUUAAUUUUCUUUGAUCUCAGUUGGUUGUCAUGGUUCGUAAGUAACCCCGCAUUUUCCUUAAUUGUUUAUUGUUUCCACUAGCUACAAUUUUUGGGCAAAUUUGGAGAUUAGAACCUCUUCCUCUUGAGAAGAGAUUAAUGUGGCGAAGAGAAAUGGAAUGGCUUCUUUCUGUUAGUGAUCACAUUGUAGAGCUGAUACCAUCUUUGCAGACAUUUCCAGAUGGAAGCACUCUUGAGGUAAACUCUAAUUUAUCAGUAUCCCUUGACAAAGCCAUAUCAAUUUGCAACCGUCAUGUAUUCUUGUCAGAUAUUGAGUUGAUUUUUUUUUUUUUUCGUGUCAAAAAGAUAUUGAGUUGAUUAGUUCUCUAAAGACUCGCUAAGAUUAUUGGACUCUUGAUGUUGGCUAGGUUAAUUUAAGGGCUAUUACGCAAUUUAGCAAAGCCUAUUCAGGAAUUAUUUAGAAAAUAUUUAUGUACUUUUUGCAGGCAAAUAUGACGAAGCAAAUGGCACAAAAACUCCUUGCUUUGAUCACUAACUCUUUGUUUAGUCAAAAUGGUUAUUCAACCAACUAACAACAGCGUACAUUUCUAGCCACUCAUCUAUAAAAAUGUAUGUAUGGUCCAAAAAUUGUACGUUUUCUGCUAUAGUUGCAUGGCCAUUUUGAUUAAAGAAAAAAACUUAGUUACCGGAGCAGGGAAUCUUAAAUAAUCUAAAGUGUCUCGAUACACUAUGCUCGAUAUAAAAUGAUGUCUAAGCUGCUUUUAUUGAUUCUUGUACAUGUUUGAUGCAGGUUAUGACCUCCAGGCCGCGGUCUGAUCUAUAUGUUAACCUCCCUGCUCUACGUAAAUUAGAUAAUAUGCUUCUCGUAAGGUCCAAAUCUUGCUUUUGGAACGUUGCUGACAAUAUUGAGUGACCUUUUCUAAGUUUUAGCCUCUUCUCACAGGAAAUAUUAGAUAGUUUCAAGAACACAGAAUUCUGGUACGUUGACCAGGGGAUCAUGUCUCUAGAAGAAAACGGAUCAUCCUCAUUCCGGAAUCCCCUCCCCCGUCAAGAGGAGAAAUGGUGGCUGCCAGUGCCUAGAGUCCCCAUAGGUGGCCUCAGUGGGAAUGCAAGAAAACUGUUGCAGCACAGACGUGAUUGUACAAACCAAAUCCUCAAAGCUGCGAUGGCAAUCAACAGCAUUACUUUGGCUGAUAUGGAAGUUCCCGAGUCAUAUUUGGAAGCUCUUCCAAAGGUAUGGCUCCCAAAUUCUAAGUCCAUUUAUAUGAAACAAAAGAUUCUAUGUAUCGCUUACGUAUUCUUCCUUACUUUGCUGACAGAAUGCCAAGUCCAGUUUGGGUGACCUUAUUUAUCGAUACAUCAAUUCAGAUCAAUUUUCGCCGGAGUGUUUGCUCGACUGCCUUGACUUGUCAUCAGAGCAUCAAGCUCUCGAGAUUGCUAACAGAGUGGAGGCGUCAAUUUAUGCCUGGCGUCGUCGAAGUAGCUCAAAACAUUUAAAUAGCACAAAUAAAUCCAAUCCAAAGUCAUCAUGGGAAAUUGUCAAGGAUCUGGUCAUUGAUGCAGACAAGAGAGAGCUGCUUUCAGAGAGAGCCGAAAGCCUGAUGCUUUGCUUGAGACAACGGUUUCCUGGUCUCUCUCAGACGACCUUGGACAUGAGUAAAAUUCAGUAUAACAAGGUUUUCCCUGGCAUUGCACUUCUCAGUACCUAUUAUGUUCACAUUUUUUUCUUCCUUAAUAUCUGUGUUUGUUUUAUCAGAAAAUUUACAAUACCCUUCGCUGAAUCCUUCGUGUAUGCCCCGUUCUUAGGAUGUCGGCAAGGCCAUAUUGGAGAGCUACUCACGGGUAUUGGAGAGUUUGGCAUUCAACAUUGUGGCCCGCAUUGACGACCUAGUUUAUGUGGAUGACUUGACCAAGCAUUCGGAUCAACCUUUUUCUAUGUCGAAGGUCGGUAUGAUUGCUCAUAGGGGUGUUGUUAUCGUGCCUCCCUCAAAUACUCCGUACAAAACAGCUUUUACCACACCAAGCUUCUCACCUGCGCUGCGCCCUAGUCCUGCAACUGUCGAAAGAUCACCAAUUCUUGAAAACAAGCUUCCCCAUCGAGGGUUCGGUGUGAAAAAGGUUUUGACAGAUUAUUUGAGUAUCGAUGCGAAAGGGAAGGACUUGAACAAACAAAAUAUAAGAUCAGAUUCAUCUUCAAGUACAUACCAAGGGUCAUCGGCAUCUCAAUCAUUGGACUGUUCUGAUUUUCCCAGCGAGGUUAAGAGCCCCCUAACACACGAUUCGCCUAGCGAAGAAUGAACGAGAGACUCAGCUUUGAACAAAUUCCUCCAUAUUGUUUUUGACUGAUAAAUAGUGUGUAUUUCAUCCUUGUGUCAAUACAUAUGUCCGAAUGGCGUUAGUUGCUUGUAAGUUCCCAUACAACUUCCCAAGGUGAGGCAUUCUCUGGUCGAACUGGCUCGACCAUCCCUCGAAUUUGGAAGGAUUAGCAUUUGUAUAGACAAUUGCUGAAUUUUUCAUGGUAUUGGCUCCAUGUAAUGCAAUUCUCAGUAAUACUUAAAUACGUUUAAACAUUGCUAGUAGCUCUUACUCGAAAAUUUUAACAAUCUGGCAAUCACUUCACCACGUCACAAACUUUAACCAUCCGGCAUCCGUCGCCUGUUGCCAGCUGCCACCACCCGCAUUCUCAAAGAUCUCAAUUCCCAAAUGAAUGUACAUGGAGAAAUCUAGAGGCAUACUUGACGAUUGAUGCCACAUUAGGGCCUCAAGCUGGUAAUGGGAAGAUUGUACAGCUUCAAUAAUUAGCUAUAGUCACCGUCAAAGUUUUUUUCCAUGCCAUUUGACAAGUUUGUUAUCCUAGUGGCUGCUGAAGUGGCUAUUCUAAGCCGCAAUUUCACAUUGAACAAGAUAUAUAUAUAUAUAUAUAUAUAUAUACAUGUGUGUGUGUGUGCGGUGCUUCCUUGUUUGAUGGACGACGUAAUUGAACGCAUUUGCGCUAGACCUUAGAACCCACAACAGUAAAGGGCAAUUAAUCAGGCCCCUUGCGCACUGGCAGCAGAAGAAGAUACUGUUUCAGACAGGUGCUGCCUUCUGGUGAAGAAAACAGUACUGAAUGAAUCUAAGCUGCCUCUGUGCUGUCUACCCUCCAAUACUGCCAGGAGUCGUGGAUUCGAGCCAGAAAUGCUAUUACCAGUUUACCAUCCAUCCCCAACCGCUACAGUUUCGUCAAUUGUCCUGUGGCCUACAGACGUGGACGUAAGCUCUACGCCAUCUCACUCUCUUGAAUUUCCAUUUUUUGCUUCCGUAUUUAUCAUUGCUGUUUUUCUGAAAGAAUCAUGUGCCUUGAAAGCACAUGAUCAUCAAAUCAAACUGAAAAAGGCUAGCGAGUACCAAUUGCCUUCUGUAACCUUCAACCCCUCAAAACUCCAAAACGGCAUCAGCAAGUACUGAUGAAUUAAUGUAGAUCGCGUUCAAGUUGCAAACAGUUGGUUGCCAAACAAACCAUCAUAUCUUCCUGAGAUGAAGCAAAUCUGUGAAUGGCUUCAUCUAACUGAGAAUCAAAGGCUCCUAAGCUGCUCAAAAUACCGCGGUCCACGCAGACCCAACCACCCCAUCCCCAGCCAGUAAGCUUUCUUUUCCAUUAUCCGAAGGAUAAAUUUCACUAACAACCGACUAAAGAUUAUCUCCAGUAGGCGGUCUAUCUGCUAGUAAUCCCUGGUUCCCAUCCCACAACCUUAUCAAACAGACCAAACAAACAGGUGAGCACGAGACCUUCUGACAAAUUGUUGCCGAUCAUGAUAAGAUCGUAUUGCGUUGGACUCUAAACAUGCCACAGCAGUCUACUGAAGUAGGCGCGCAACAUGGAUUGUUGGUGGACCGCUACGCCCGCCGAUGAUUUAUUCUACUCCCCGGAGGCAUGUCGCUGUCCUUUUAGUUCCUCUGUCGGUGUUGGGUGGCAAACGACAAUCAACCGCCGUCCAACGGGAAUCGAACGGUUUCAAACUCGUAGAGGAAUUAAAUCACACAGAUCGAAUUUGAAACGGGUAGAUAUUUUCUUCUUUUUUUUUUAAUCAAACGCACCGCCAACUACCGACCAAAUGUCUACUUACGAAACGGCCAGCAUUGAUUCUUUUUCAGGACAAUGGUUAAACUCACACAAAGGGAAUCACGGCCAUUUUUAUAGAAAGAUGUAAUGGUAAUCAGCCCUGAAAAGUAAGCUCACUUAAAGUCUUUAGCACAUACACUGACUGUUUAUGAUAAAAGAUCUAUAACCACUGCCACUAUACUGACUACUAUUACAGUUGAUAAUUCUGAUUUCUACUGCCAUGGCAGCAACUGAGUAACUGGCCCUUAGCUAUCUACCGUUUCCCAUAUUACAAAGUGGGGGAAAUGGCAGUAUCCUAAUAACCUCCAGCUUCCUGCGCCCU